GCCAAAGAAGGUGAUAGCCCUGUAUAUUAAAGUAGAGUUUUUAAGGAAUGAGUAAAACGAGAAAUCUAUCUUGUUUGAAGAUAGGGGAACCACCCUCUAAGCCUAAGUAUUUCUCAAUGACCGAUAGUGAACCAGUACCGUGAGGGAAAGGUGAAAUGAAACCUAAUAAAUAAAAGGUGUGAAAAGACCUGAAACCCGAUGCUUACAAUCAGUCGACGCUCAUAGCUAGUUUCCUUGUAAAAAAGGUUAUUGCGUAUAGAGUAACGGCGUACCUUUUGCAUAAUGGGUCAGCGAGUCAAUGUGUAUAGCGAGCUUAAGCCGUUAGGUGGAGGCGUUUACAAAAGAAUGUAUAGAUUGUGAUAGAGUUAUAUAAGUUGUACCCGAAACCGAGUGAUCUAGCCAUGAGUAGGCUGAAGAAAUAGUAACAGAUUUUGGAGGGCCGAACCCGUGUAUGUGGCAAAUACUGGGAUAACUUGUGGCUAGGGGUGAAAGGCCAAUCAAACUCGGAGAUAGCUGGUUUUCCGCGAAAUCUAUUGAGGUAGAGCGUAUUCGUCUUACAUAAUAAUGAUGGGAGGUAGAGCACUCAAUGGGCUAGGGUGGCCCAAAGCCUGACCAACCUCAACGAAACUCCGAAUACCUGUCAAAAUGUGGCGAAUACAGACAGAAUUUGGGUGCUAAGAUCCAAACUCAAAAGGGAAACAGCCCAGAUCGUACGCUAAGGUCCUAAAGUAAUCACUAAGUGUGAAAGGAGGUAAUCUUGCAUUGACAACCAGCAGGUGGGCUUAGAAGCAGCCAUCCUUUAAAGAAAGCGUAACUGCUCACUGGUCUAGCUUGAUUGCGCCGAAAAUGUAACGGGGCUAAAGUGAUUCACCGAAGCGACGAAUCUUUAAUAUUAAAGAUUUAAUAUUAGAAGUUGGUAGCGGAACGUUCCGUAAGUCUGUGAAGGUUAUUUUAUAGAAUAACUCAAGAUAUCGGAAGUGAGAAUGCUGACAUGAGUAACGUAAAAUCAUGUGAAAAACAUGAUCGCCGAAAGUUCCCGGGUUUCUGCGAAAAGUAAAUCUGCGCAGAGUAAGCCGGCCCCUAAGAAAAACGGCGAAAGCCGUUCUCGAUGGGAAGAAACUAACCGAUGCUGUCUAAAAGUUAAUUCUAUAAAUGUAAUAGUUUAUAGAAAAGGCCUGCUUGAAAGAUGACGAAUAUGAUGUCUACUUAGUAUAAGUCUUUAAUUUAGUACUGGUAUCCAGCUAAUUUAAAGAGAUUGGAUUAAUACUUUUUGAUCUCAUUGCAUUCCUGGAAAUAAGUUCUAGUUUAAAAAAGAAGGGGGCUGCAUAAGCCCCCUUCUGGACCGUACCAUAAACCGACACAGGUGAACUAAUAGAGUAUACUAAGGCGUUUGAGGCAACCAUGUUGAAGGAACUCGGCAAAUUGACCCCGUAACUUCGGGAGAAGGGGUGUCGAGCCUAACAAAUAAAAUAAAAGGUUCGAUGGCACAAAAUAGGGAGUGGCGACUGUUUAAUAAAAACACAGGACUCUGCUAAAUCUACAGAUGAUGUAUAGGGUCUAACACCUGCCCGGUGCUGGAAGGUUAAUAGGAGAAGUAUUAGCUUCGAAUCUAAGCCCCAGUAAACGGCGGCAGUAACUCUAACUGUCCUAAGGUAGCGAAAUUCCUUGUCGCAUAAGUAGCGACCUGCACGAAUGG
rnacentral:rRNA from 1 species